rnacentral:rRNA from 1 species
CCCCCGUAAGGGUGCCCUAUACAUGCAGUCGAGCGAACAGAGAAGGAGCUUGCUCCUUUGACGUUAGCGGCGGACGGGUGAGUAACACGUGGGCAACCUACCUUAUAGUUUGGGAUAACUCCGGGAAACCGGGGCUAAUACCGAAUAAUCUGUUUCACCUCAUGGUGAAACACUGAAAGACGGUUUCGGCUGUCGCUAUAGGAUGGGCCCGCGGCGCAUUAGCUAGUUGGUGAGGUAACGGCUCACCAAGGCGACGAUGCGUAGCCGACCUGAGAGGGUGAUCGGCCACACUGGGACUGAGACACGGCCCAGACUCCUACGGGAGGCAGCAGUAGGGAAUCUUCCACAAUGGGCGAAAGCCUGAUGGAGCAACGCCGCGUGAGUGAAGAAGGAUUUCGGUUCGUAAAACUCUGUUGUAAGGGAAGAACAAGUACAGUAGUAACUGGCUGUACCUUGACGGUACCUUAUUAGAAAGCCACGGCUAACUACGUGCCAGCAGCCCGGGGGUAAUACA